GCGGUAGAGAAGGAAGAAAAGAAUCACACGAACAGGGUACCCCUGUUCGAGCCCGAACCGGCACCUCGCCGGUCUUCCGAGCACCCCAUGGCCGGAGAGACCUAGACUGAAAGGAAGGAAGAAGGAACAUACCUUGUUCCGGCGGCCAAAACAGCUCCGGCAACCCCUUUUUCUUCCGAUCAACUACCACGAAAAUCUUUGAGAAAAAUCCCUCAAAUCCCUUGAUUUACUUCGAAAUUUUUGUUGUAAAUUCCUAAAGGAAGGUUGGGGGAUCUUAUAGUGGAGGUUUCCUACCCUAGCCGGACUCUUUGAGUCCGAUUUUGCCGGAAUCGUGAAGGAAGAAGACUCCGGCUAGGAGUCUUCCUCCUCCUCUGAUUUUUUUUUUUUUUUAUGCUGUUGGGCCGUCUGGACUACAGGCC
rnacentral:lncRNA from 1 species